rnacentral:rRNA from 1 species
UAUGGUUGUAAAGCACUUUAAGCGAGGAGGAGGCUACUUUAGUUAAUACCUAGAGAUAGUGGACGUUACUCGCAGAAUAAGCACCGGCUAACUCUGUGCCAGCAGCCGCGGUAAUACAGAGGGUGCAAGCGUUAAUCGGAUUUACUGGGCGUAAAGCGCGCGUAGGCGGCUAAUUAAGUCAAAUGUGAAAUCCCCGAGCUUAACUUGGGAAUUGCAUUCGAUACUGGUUAGCUAGAGUGUGGGAGAGGAUGGUAGAAUUCCAGGUGUAGCGGUGAAAUGCGUAGAGAUCUGGAGGAAUACCGAUGGCGAAGGCAGCCAUCUGGCCUAACACUGACGCUGAGGUGCGAAAGCAUGGGGAGCAAACAGGAUUAGAUACCCUGGUAGUCCAUGCCGUAAACGAUGUCUACUAGCCGUUGGGGCCUCUGAGGCUUUAGUGGCGCAGCUAACGCGAUAAGUAGACCGCCUGGGGAGUACGGUCGCAAGACUAAAACUCAAAUGAAUUGACGGGGGCCCGCACAAGCGGUGGAGCAUGUGGUUUAAUUCGAUGCAACGCGAAGAACCUUACCUGGCCUUGACAUAGUAAGAACUUUCCAGAGAUGGAUUGGUGCCUUCGGGAACUUACAUACAGGUGCUGCAUGGCUGUCGUCAGCUCGUGUCGUGAGAUGUUGGGUUAAGUCCCGCAACGAGCGCAACCCUUUUCCUUAUUUGCCAGCGAGUAAUGUCGGGAACUUUAAGGAUACUGCCAGUGACAAACUGGAGGAAGGCGGGGACGACGUCAAGUCAUCAUGGCCCUUACGGCCAGGGCUACACACGUGCUACAAUGGUCGGUACAAAGGGUUGCUACCUAGCGAUAGGAUGCUAAUCUCAAAAAGCCGAUCGUAGUCCGGAUUGGAGUCUGCAACUCGACUCCAUGAAGUCGGAAUCGCUAGUAAUCGCGGAUCAGAAUGCCGCGGUGAAUACGUUCCCGGGCCUUGUACACACCGCCCGUCACACCAUGGGAGUUUGUUGCACCAGAAGUAGCUAGCCUAACUGCAAAGAGGGCGGU